UUUGAUUUAAUUAUGCUUAUGGGCCUCCACUGUAUUUGGCGGUGCAGAAUGGCAGGAUACUACUGCGAUACCGACGCA
rnacentral:lncRNA from 1 species